GUUUUUUGCGUAAUAAUAAUAUGGCGGUACUCACAGUUGCGGUGUUGCGGCGUGCGGCCGGCUUGUGAUUGUGUGUCGCUUGGCGCUGCACCGUCGUUUUAUGCGCACGCGCUCCCGCACGCCGCGUCCACAGGAUGUAAACAAAUAACACAACUAACUACAUAACUACAAGCACUUUCGCGCUUAACGGAAAAAUCUAAGCAACUGCGCGUGCACAACUGCUUGAAAAAUGGGAAGGGUGGUAAACGGAAGAAGUAAUUAACAUCACGCUUGAUGUGAACAACAUACGCGCUAUAAUUACAAGGAUUCAUGUAAAACUGGAUAGUCAAUUAUUUAAAACAAUAAUAUGCACAAUUCCCUGUAGGUAUUUACACAACAACUCAUUUUAAGGCAGUCAACAUAGUACUUCUAAUUUGGGG